GACGAACGCUGGCGGCGUGCUUAACACAUGCAAGUCGAACGGAAAGGCCCUGCUUUUGUGGGGUGCUCGAGUGGCGAACGGGUGAGUAACCCGUGAGUAACCUGCCCUUGACUUUGGGAUAACUUCAGGAAACUGGGUCUAAUACCGGAUAGGAGCUCCUGCUGCAUGGUGGGGGUUGGAAAGUUUCGGCGGUUGGGGAUGGACUCGCGGCUUAUCAGCUUGUUGGUGGGGUAGGGGCUUACCAAGGGUUUGACGGGUAGCCGGCCCGAGAGGGUGACCGGGCACAAUGGGACUGAGAUACGGCCCAGACUCCUACGGGAGGCAGCAGUGGGGAAUAUUGCACAAUGGGCGGAAGCCUGAUGCAGCAACGCCGCGUGCGGGAUGACGGCCUUCGGGUUGUAAACCGCUUUCGCCUGUGACGAAGCGUGAGUGACGGUAAUGGGUAAAGAAGCACCGGCUAACUACGUG
rnacentral:rRNA from 1 species